GGGGCUGUAAUUGCUAGGCCUGACCUGCUUGAUUUUGUCACCCUGAACACUGUUGAAUAGACAGUGGGCUUCUAAUGCUAUUUUGUAUCUGUUUGAUUCACAGUUUCAAGUAUUGAUGAGAGAAAUUACCAAAUAUUGUAUAAUUUUAAGAUACAAAGUUAAUAAUUAUAUAAUUGACUAUGUUCCUAGUUGUGAAGAGUAAAUAUUGAAUAAAAACUAAAAUCUGAAGAGAAUCUCAGAGAUCUCACCCAACUCUGGAGAGUCGUCUGUGGGUUCUUUUCCUUGCAGUAGGCUGAAUGGUCAUAAUGACCUCUGCACCGCACUGUAUGCUGAGAAACUCAAGAGUUUGCUGUUGACAAAGCCAUCUGCCUAAUAAAGCUAUGUGGUAAACAAGAUGCUCCCCACUUACUCUUAAGAUGUGGCUUUAGAUCUAACCUCUUGCCUCAGUUUACUGACAGCCUUAAGGUUAGAUGCUCAAUGGUAGGUGUGUUGUUGGCACGAUGCAUGAGGCAGAAAAGCCCUAAUUCUCCUCUUCCAUCUAUAUUACAUGUUACAGUGCUAACAGAACAUCUUCUUUUGCUGAAAAGAUAAAUUUUUGGCAAUGAUUUUUAAAAUAUAGUUUCCUUUUCUGAAAGUGACUACAAGGAGAAAAUAAUGUUUAAAGGACUUAAUCCUAACAACUGAACAAAUAAGCACACACACAUAAAUGCAGGAAUAGGGAAAUAGUCCUGCCACUUAACUGAUCUAUCUGAGAAAGAUAUUUGGUCUGGGUUAAAUCUUUUUAAAAAUAAAGUAUUCAGCCUCUCCAAUUUCGCAUCCCAUUGUCAGUAGAAUCGGCUUACCCAUCAUUCCAAGAGUAUUCAAGCAGGUUCUAUAAAACUCAGCGAUGUAUCACACCACUCACUAAGAGCCAGCCAUGGAACCACCAUGCUAAUUCCCUGGUCCCACAUCUGCUUCAGGUGUAACCCAUGGCCACACAACCACUCAUCAUCUCAUGACCUCUUUGCACAGCUGUAUAAAAAAUCAUGAGGCCUAAUUUAGUAUGAGAUGGGAGAUGAGGAGGCCAACAGCUUUCCAUUUUAAGAUUAAGGUUUUGAACACACCUUUUUUAUUUUAUUGUUCCAUAUUGAGGAGUUUCUAUAUGUUAGGGUACAUUAAAUUGAAUCUUUAUUUUUUAAAACC
rnacentral:lncRNA from 1 species